UGCGUAACGCGUGGGAAUCUGCCUUUAGGUCUGGGAUAACGGCGGGAAACUGCUGCUAAUACCGGAUGAUAUCGCGAGAUCAAAGAUUUAUCGCCUAGAGAUGAGCCCGCGUCAGAUUAGCUAGUUGGUGGGGUAAAGGCCUACCAAGGCGACGAUCUGUAGCUGGUCUGAGAGGAUGAUCAGCCACACUGGGACUGAGACACGGCCCAG
rnacentral:rRNA from 1 species